UGUGCGAUAAUUAUUCAGUACUCUACAUUCCAAUGUGUGUGUAAAUCUUUUGUUGUGUGUUCGACAGUCUUUGAAAUGGUGUUAUGGUGAUUUUUUUUGUCAAUAAAAUCACUAAUACUAAAUUUAAUUUAUUGGAAUGAAAUAUAGCAGUUACUUGUGUUAAUAUUGUAUUAAUCAUGAUAUUUUUACUUUACUAAUCUAAUUGGAUGAGUAUGGAUGUGCGUUAAAGGUAUUUAUAUGUAGUCGGAGUAAUGACACUGAAGAAAAUCGCGAAAAUGUCAACAAAAUCCUACAUAUCCACAGAAUUAAGUGACAGUAUAAGCAAUGUUUUGGGAAAAAAUGUUAGGAUUCUUUACAAAUCACUCAUUCGUAUGGAAUCAAGAGGUGACAAGGUUGACAACAAGGUUUUGGUUGUGACAUCAUAUAGAGUUUUUAUUACUACAGCAAAGAUACCAACAAGAGUUGACAAUGGAUUUCAUUUGAUGGAAAUUGAAGCAUUGGAGAGCAAAAAAGCCAAUCAUUUGUCAAUAACACUGGUACACGAACACAAGCCGGUGUCGAUACUUAUAGGUGAAGAAGGUACUUCGGAAGGUGUAAUUAAUGCAAUCAACGCACUGACAGCAGCGUUUGAUGAUUUAUUCCCUAACGUUGCGAUGGUGGACAUCAUACCUAAGGUCAAUUUGCCAUUUCCCCUUCAACAUGUUAGUGGCACGAGGAAACAUAUGGCGUGCGGGGACUUUUCAAAUCAAUAUGCCGCCAUGUGCGAUUUGUGUCAAACACCUUUCAGAGCGGAAGUGGCAUGGGAUAUCGACACGAUAUAUUUAGCACACGACAUCCGUAUGUUACAUCUGAAAGACUUCGACCAUUUAGAUCAAAGGGACCUGAUCCCGCUGGUGAUGGCGGUGCAGCACAACACGUGGUUCGCGGGCAUCUGCGGCGACGGCGUGCGCGCGUCGCACGAGACGUGGGAGAGCGUGUGCCGCGUGGUGGCGCGCGCCUGCCCCGCGCCGCAGCGCCUGAGCUGGCGCGCGGCGCAGCUGCGCCACGACCACGCCGCGCGCCUCGGCCACGCGCUGCGCACCGCAAGACACCCGCCCGCGCUGCACACCAUCGACUUCUCGCAGAACCAUAUCGAGGAUAAAGGUGCAAUAAGUAUACUGAGCGGCGUGGCGAACAACCCGGACGGGCUGCGGCACGUGGCGCUGUCUCAGUGCGGACUGACAGGCAAGACUGUAGUGCAUCUCGCCACCAUGCUCAAUGACAACCCUUGCCAUCUGCUCACGCUCUCACACCUGGAUCUUUCCCAUAAUAAUCUGAAAGACGACGUACAUAAUCUGUACAAUUUUCUCGCGCAGCCGAAUGUUUUGACGUAUUUAAAUUUGACGAACACGGAAACAACGUUAGAAAAUAUGUGGGGCGCGCUGCUGCGCGGGUGCGCGGCGCGGCUGCGCUCGCUGUGCGCGGCGCGCAACGCCUGGGGCGCCUCGCGCCGCGCGCGCGACCCGCCGCCCUCCUUCCGACAGUUCUUCACCGCCUGUCUCGCGCUGCAGCACCUCGACUUCUCCUACUGCAAGAUGCCGCCCGACGCGCUCAAGAGCCUGCUGCUGGGCCUGGCGUGCAAUGAGAGUGCGACAGGCGUGCAGCUGAACCUGGCGGGCGCGCUGUCGUCGUCGCAGGCGGCGCACGUGCUGGAGUCGUGCAUACACGGCGUGCGGUGUCUGCAGUCGCUCGACCUCUCCGACAACAGCAUGGAGUUAGAACUAUCGGGGAUAGUGCGAGCUAUAGGAAAGAAUCAUUCGAUCACACAUCUAUCAUUAAGUAGGUUAUCAGGAAAAAGGUCUUACGCGCCGCCGUUGAUACAAGCUCUAGUCCACGUAUUGCAAGAACCUGACACUACAUUAACGUCGCUAGAUCUCAGUGAUUGUAAACUUAAGGGUGACCUGUAUGGAUUGCUAAACGCGCUAGGCGGAGCGCGGCGACUGCGCUCGCUGGACGUGGGCGGCAAUCUCGCCGGCGACGCGGGCGCCCGCCUCCUCGCCAAGGCGCUGCAGUGCAACUGUACACUGCACACGCUCUAUAUUGACAGGAAUGCAUUUAGUUUGCAAGGUUUGACAGACAUAGCGACGGCGUUGCGUCGUUCAGUGAGCGUGCGGCGCGUGGAGUUCCCCGGGUGCGACGCGGCGGCGGGCGGGCGCGGCGCGAGCGAGCGCGUGGCGGCGCUGUGGCGCGAGCUGCACGAGCGGCUGGCGGGCGGCGGCAUGGGCGCGGGGCUGGGGGCGGGGGCGGGGGCGGCGUCGAGCGGCGCGCACGCGCACGGAGUCUGCGCGCUGGCGCUGGAGCGCGCUUGGGCCGGUGGCGAGGCGGCGGCCGCACUGGCGGCGCAGGCGGCGGGCGCGCUGCCGCCGCCGCCGCUGCCCGCUGCGCUCGAGCGCGCCGCCGCCGCCGCGCACCACCUGCUGCACCAGUACCUGCAGAGGUGCAGCGAAGUGUUCGCAGCGAUGGGGGGCGCGGGCUCGUGUGGCGAACUAGUUACAUUGCAAGCCGUCAGAGACGCAAUGGCGCCGUGCAACGCCACCCUUCAGGACCUGCUCAAUCAAGCCGUAGAAAAUCUUGCGCUAAUGGCGUGCGAAAAUCUCGAUAACGCGGACAGCGAACCCAUGCCCAGUGGCGAAGGUGACAUUCCAGAUCUACUGACACCGAUUUCACAUUCUGGCGCGACACCGUUGGGUUGUCGAAGACGUGAUCGCGGGUGCCGUCGGGUGCGGCCAAAGUCCGUGGCGGAGCAGCAGUGCAGCAGCAACGAGAUGCUGUCACUGCCGCCACUGCACGCUGAGGCCACCGACGCGCUGGCGGAACUGCCUGCUCACACGCUGCGACAUCUUGUCAAAGGUCGGCCGCGGCGCGCCAAGACGCGCGCGCCGUCGCGGCCCAUCACGGAGCAGUCGGACGUGGACGAGGGGCUGGAGGAGUUCUGGCGCACGUGCCGCACGCCGCCGGGCUCGGAGGACGCGUCGCUGUCGGCGCGCACGCCGCUCACGUCGCGCUCGCUGCACUCGCUCGAGUCGCUCGCCUCGCCCGACCCGCACCGACACUCGCCCACGCUGCAGCGCGACGACACCAUGUACAGCGUGACAUCUGGCGAAAGCACACCUGUGUUACUAGAAUGCGAAGUAUCACGAUGCAAGUCUUCCGACAAUGUAGGGGCCAAGCCGCCAACCACGCCUCCGCCUUCACGGUCUUCCGACAACGUCAACACAAUGGGCAACGGGUGCGCGCGCACGCCCGGCAAGGCGCGGCCGUGGUCCGUGGCCGGCGGCAACGCCGACGCCGCCGCCACCGCCGUCUGCACCACCGAAGGCGUGGAGGCGUGCGUCGGCGGCAGCAUCGUGGGCAUCACCCCGGGCGCCGCACUAACCAGUAACCAACUUUCAGACGCUAUUCUGUACUGAGCUCUAAUGUCAAUGUGCCGUCUGGCUGUAUAGGCUCAAUGCUACGAGAUCACCCUCUCACUCCCGAAGACGCUGAAGCCUAAACAAAAUCGUCUUAUGAAGAGGGAACGUGAUAAGCUGAGCAGGGUGGAAUGUCCAGAUGUUGCACGGAAACGGAUUUUAAUAUCUGAUGCUCACAUUUGUGCCAGUUAGAUUUUUAACAUUUUAGAACAUAGGAAACGAUUAGAAUCUUAGUAAUUUACUGUAUAUGAAUUGAUCGCCAUUUUAUUUAUUGUAAGAAACGAUUUAAUUUUUAAAAUGUAAUGAUGCGAAACGGUCAUAAUAAUUCCAAUUAAUCUAAAAUCGUAAGUUUUAAUGUAAUCAUUUUCUAUUUACUGUGAUCGAGUUAAGCAAUCAGGGAGACACGAUACGUUGCUCAUAUUAAAAUCUGAUCGAAACAUGUUAUAACAAUUAUUGUUUUCUUCGUCUCCUGGCGUAGCAGACAAUAAACUGGCUGUGAAAUCCUGUAUUAUUCCUAGAUUUUUGCAUUGAAUUUGGUUGUCAUGGGAUCAGAAAGUCGCUUAUGAGAUAUUUCUCGUAAAAUUUUCUCGCAAGUUUAAGUUUUUUUUAUUAAUUACAUAAAUGAGAGUGUUCAAUAUGAUACGUUAACCCGCUUAUUUUUAUUAAUAUUCUACUUGUUAGGUCUGACUUUUAUGAUCCCUUUGAAAAAGCAUUAUAUUAUGGGAAAACAUAGGAAUUUGGAUAACGUGGAUUCAGUUUUUUGCCGCAGGCACCAGUCAUUAAUAUUUACGUUAUGCAGCACACAAUGCUGCAUGUUUAUAUCAAUUUGGUAUGAUUAAAUUCGCAUGUUUUCUAUUACGUAUAUCGUCGCAUUACGUGUAUGAACUGAGAAUUAACGAUGUUACGCGUCUCCCUGAGUAAGUUUGUAGUAUUAUCUGUUUAUUUCACUAUAUUUUUAACCGCAUGUAUUUACACAUUUUCCACAUUACGCUUUUUGUAUGGGUUUAAUAUAGGAACUAAAACUGCGAUACAUAAGCGGUACAAAUGUUUCUGCCAUUAUCUCUGCCAUUGAUCGCGUAUUGUAUACAUUCAAAUAAAAUAUAGCUAGAUUAUUUUACGCUAGACUUUCAAAUAACUCACCAUACUCAAAUCAGAUUUACAAGACUUUAUGUUUUAAUAUAUAUUUUGAUGCAUGUAUUCCCGUUGAAUAUUUUUUUAUUCUAAGUGAUCGCGAUAGAAAUUCUAUUUAUUUAUAUAGUGAUGAAGUGACUGCAAGUAUUCUUACAAAUUGGUCUUGCCUAGUCAUGUAUAAAAGGCCUACACUUACGCACAAUUUUCAGCAUGUUAAGAUUUUAAUAUUAUAUCGUUGACAGUAUCUUCCAAUCUGUGCAUUCUUUUAUCAAUCAAAUUAUAAAUAUGUGAUUUCAAGUUCAAAAAUUUUCAUUAACAAUUAUAGAUUAGUACACACGCAGUGAUGUAAGAUUCAAUUUUACGAGAAUUCCGUUAUUUAGGAAUCGCCCCCAUACAUUUAAGUGUUCAUUAGAUGUAAUAUUUGUAAAUCGAUUGCAUUCAUUUCUCUUGAAUACAUUAAGGCUGUCUUUACCGAUUAAUGUAGAUGUAUAUUGCUAAGUUAUUUUAUAGUAUUUUAUAUAUUCAUUCCAAUGUAUUCCUUUUACCUAGCCUUUUGUGGUACCAGACUGAUUUUAAGGUACAUUUUAUUUUAUGGUGCAAUUUAUUUCUAGAGCGUUGUGAUAAUUGUUUAAAUUACAUACUAUAUACAGCAACAUAA